CAUCCAAUAAUAUUUGAUAUAAUAUAUGGGACUGGGAAAUGGGGUUCCUCCUAGAAUUAACGGUGAUAAGAUACGAAGUGAAUAGUCCCGAGAUUACUGGGUACAAGUCAAAUCGGCACCUGGUCAAAUCGGCACCCAUAGAAAAAGUCAAAUCGGCACCUAUUUAAAAUUCAAUUCGGCAUCCAAUAAUACUUGAUAUAAUAUAUGGGACUGGGACUAUUUAAGUUUGUAAUUUAAGUAUACUAGCAUAAAAGUCCCCCACGGUCCCAGCUUGUCUGGCAAAUCAGCCGUCGGACAUCAGAGUAAUCUCGAACUAUGAAGUGAAAUACCUUCUCUCUCUCUCUCAGUGACUGCUGUGGAAAGUAAACUUGGAAUUGAUAGCACACAAAUAAAACACAAUAAGUACAUUGCUCGUACACUUGUAUCCGGGAUUAGCUAUUUUU
rnacentral:lncRNA from 1 species